UUGACCUCAAAUCAGGUAGGAAUACCCGCUAACUUAA
rnacentral:rRNA from 1 species